CAAACUUGGAGAUCAUGACCUGAGCCGAAGUUGGACGCUUAACCGACUGAGCCACCCAGACGCCCAAUUUGUCACCACUUUGACGUUUAGCUUCCUCUCUGAAAAGAUACAGAAGCUUUUGUCAGAAACGUGAUCAGUAUACAGAGGACCUCGCCGGUGUCUAAAAACCCCAUGCAGAAUGACUUUUUCAAGAUACUGUUUCCUACAAAAAACAUUUCUGAUCAAAAUGUCCCUGCGACUCACCGUUAUUUAACUGGUGUUUGCAUUUUCAAUAUGCUGAGAGCCCGCGUGCCAGCUUUUUGAUCCUUAGCAGUUUUCCAAAAUAAGCUUUCUAUUUUGGAACAAUUUUAUAUUUACAGAGACGUUGCAAAGAUAGUACAGCGAGCCCCGAAUACCCUUCCCCCACCCCCACCCCCCAUAGCGUCUUACAUAACCAUAGCGUAUUUGUCACCACUGGGAGGCUGGGAGUGGCGAGUUACUACUAACCAAAUUCCAGGCUUGACCUGGAUUUCACCAGUUUUCCCAUUAAGGUCUUCUUUCUGUCACUGGAGCCCAUCCAGGGGCCACACUGCGUUUGGCCAUCAGGCGCCCCGGUCUCCUUCAGUCGUCAGCCGCUCCUUGUGGUCCUGCCAGUCUCGGGGUGGUCGUGCGUCGUGCUCAGUGUCCCCCAACCUGGGUUUGUCUGAUGUCUUCCUGAGAUUACAGCGGGGUUGUGGGUUUGGGGGAACAACCUCAGAGGUCAGGUGCCCUUCUCACCACAUCACGGCUGGGAUGCCUCACGUCCACGCAAACCGCUCACCUUGAUCACCUGGUCCAAGUGCACCUGCCAGGUUUCUUAGCUGCAGAGUUACUUUUUUUCCCCCUCUCCAGGCCCUUCACUGUGAAAUGAGUCAGUAAGUCUAGCCCACCCUGGAGAGGGAAGGGGGUGGAAAGUGUUCCCAUCUCCUGGAGCCCCGGGCUGGACACAGCAGACCACAGAG
rnacentral:lncRNA from 1 species